GGGUGGCUUCUGUGCCCACAGAUAGUUCCUCAUCGAGGAACUUCUGGAUACUGAGACCCAGCAGCCAAAGAGGCUACCC
rnacentral:miRNA from 1 species